GGGUGGUAGUGGUCCUCCAGGGUCAGCAUAUAUGUCACCAUGGUGUCCACUGGGAUGCGGAAUUUCUUCAGCAGGUCACGCUCCUGAGGCUGAGGGAACGGCCUCCGGCGUAUUCGGAUACGCAGAAGAUGUUCAGGCCCCACUUGUUCAGGUUCUCCAGUUCCUGGGUGGAGUAGGAGGCCAGAGCAAUUCAGAGCUCUGGUCUGAAAGUAGCACUGUCAUUGCCCACCGGGUGGGUGCUGUGCUCAACAGCACAGAGUUGACUGUCCACGUCCGACCAGGCCAGAAAAUAAAGCAACCACAGCGCCUGUGUACUGAGUGACUUUAAAAAAAAAAAUUUUUUUUUAAUGUUUUAUUUAUUUUUGAGAGCGAGAGACAGAGUGUGCGUGGGGGAGGGGCAGAGAGAGAGGGAGACACAGAAUCUGAAGCUGGCUCCAGGCUCCAAGCUGUCAGCACAGAGCCCGGUGCGGGGCUCUAACCACGGACUGUAAGAUCAUGGCCUGAGCCGAAGUCUGACGCUUAACCGAGGAGCCACCCAGGCGCCCCCUGAGUGACUAUUGUCUCCCAGGCAUUAUGCUAAAUGCUUGAUCUCAUUCGGUUGGUUGGAGAACCAAAGCUCAGAAGUGAUGCGACCUACCCAAGCCCUUGCAUCUCGCAAGUGGCAACGCUGUGGUGUGAACUCCGUUUGGCUGACCCCAAAAGCACAGUUUGGCUUCGGAGCCAAACAGCUCACCAGCACCAGGGGGAAAGGAACUCGGGCUAAUUUUCCAUAGCUCCCCAGAAUCCGGAACAGUGCCAGCACACCGUAGGUGCUCAGUAAACACCGGGUGACGGACUGGGCACCGGCUAGUGCUGGAGUUCAGGUUACAACAAAUGUCAGCUGACUGAGCCAACAAGAGUGCACCGAGUCCGCUGUACAAACCCAUGCGGGAGCCCCUUGGCAUUAGGUGUCACGGAGCUGAACCCAGGUCUGGCCUGUAGUGGAUGCUGUUGGCGUUCGACCCAGAUCCCCUUCACUGACCAGUGCACCUGUCCUCCUGGGUGGGUGCUGGGACUGUUGCUUACAAAGACUCACAGCUGCUCUGUUCUCCAGAAAACUGCUCUUGCCCCUGUGGGAGCUACACGGAGGCGGUAAU